GCGGGCUGCCCUCACAUCGCCCUGGGAGUGCCUCACGGGGCCGCGCUGCCCGGGCAGCCCCGCAAUCAGCAACCACCCAUCAGGGUAAUGUAGGGUAUCGGGAACUGCUGGUAGGAAUAACCAUGCACAUAAGGCAGAGAGAUGCCUGUGUGUAGGAUCAAGGCUUUAGGCGACAACAGUGUCGUUUUAGGGACUGGAGCACACACGGCUGAUGAGGAGGGACUGAGGAGCUGAGUGUAUCCACACAGCCAGGCUGGGGUCAUGGAUAAACCACUACAGCUGUUCUCAGCAGUUGCUGAUAGUUCAUUGGCCCCAUUUUGGAACAGUCACUGCUUGCAGAGUAAGGCUGCAGUGGGAAAUGCACAUCCUCCUCAGCAGGGCUGAAAACGUGUGCACAAACACAGAAAUGUCAAUCUACAUGGACUCUGCAAAACUCCCAAAAGCAGUACGACACGGGCCUGGCCUGCAUGUGAAAUUACAAACACCAGUAAUGGGAUAUUUUACUGUCAAUAUGCUUCUGUUUAUGACAUUUGCAAGGUCUGUGUUGUACUUUUGUGUCCUGUAACCUUAUUCUUAGUAUGUCCUGUAAGUUUGGCAAGAGGGGUAAUAAUUCAGCACCAAACUUUGAUAAGGUUUAUCAGGAGAUGCAGUAGAACAGAUUGAUUGUGAAAUACCUUGUCUGAAGAUGGGCAGCUGACAGCACUAACCCUAAUUAUUUAUGUAUAUCAGACAAUAUAUUGAUGAGGAGUUCCUAUAAAGAUUUUUUCAAAGUAUUUCAAGUUGUUCACCAUGUUCUUGAGAAUGCCUGAACUGGAUUUAAAAUUAUUAAUUUUCUAAUCUGUAAUAAAGUAUUAAUGCAUUAACAAUUCAUUUACAAUCUAACUAAUGACCAAAGUACACAAUAGUCAUUCAGAUGUGCAAGGAGUCAAAAAGUCCAGCAGCAUAGCUCCAGUAUUCUAACAAAUUCUAGCAAGCCAGAGAACUCACAAGUUUGGAGUUUUUUCUAAAGUGUUCACAAGCACUAACAUUUACUUCUCAGUGUUUGUUUUAUCAAUAAAUCACUCUCAUGUCUGCUUUUA